rnacentral:rRNA from 1 species
UACAGAGGGUGCAAGCGUUAAUCGGAAUUACUGGGCGUAAAGCGCGCGUAGGUGGUUUGUUAGGUUGGAUGUGAAAUCCCCGGGCUCAACCUGGGAACUGCAUCCAAAACUGGCAAGCUAGAGUAUGGUAGAGGGUGGUGGAAUUUCCUGUGUAGCGGUGAAAUGCGUAGAUAUAGGAAGGAACACCAGUGGCGAAGGCGACCACCUGGACUGAUACUGACACUGAGGUGCGAAAGCGUGGGGAGCGAACAGG